CGAAAGGGAAACAGCCCAGACCACCAGCUAAGGUCCCAAAAUAUAUGUUAAGUGGAAAAGGAUGUGGCGUUGCCCAGACAACUAGGAUGUUGGCUUAGAAGCAGCCAUCAUUUAAAGAGUGCGUAAUAGCUCACUAGUCGAGUGACACUGCGCCGAAAAUGUACCGGGGCUAAACAUAUUACCGAAGCUGUGGAUUGUCCUUUGGACAAUGGUAGGAGAGCGUUCUAAGGGCGUUGAAGCAUGAUCGUAAGGACAUGUGGAGCGCUUAGAAGUGAGAAUGCCGGUGUGAGUAGCGAAAGACGGGUGAGAAUCCCGUCCACCGAUUGACUAAGGUUUCCAGAGGAAGGCUCGUCCGCUCUGGGUUAGUCGGGUCCUAAGCUGAGGCCGACAGGCGUAGGCGAUGGAUAACAGGUUGAUAUUCCUGUACCACCUAUAAUCGUUUUAAUCGAUGGGGGGACGCAGUAGGAUAGGCGAAGCGUGCGAUUGGAUUGCACGUCUAAGCAGUAAGGCUGAGUAUUAGGCAAAUCCGGUACUCGUUAAGGCUGAGCUGUGAUGGGGAGAAGACAUUGUGUCUUCGAGUCGUUGAUUUCACACUGCCGAGAAAAGCCUCUAGAUAGAAAAUAGGUGCCCGUACCGCAAACCGACACAGGUAGUCAAGAUGAGAAUUCUAAGGUGAGCGAGCGAACUCUCGUUAAGGAACUCGGCAAAAUGACCCCGUAACUUCGGGAGAAGGGGUGCUCUUUAGGGUUAACGCCCAGAAGAGCCGCAGUGAAUAGGCCCAAGCGACUGUUUAUCAAAAACACAGGUCUCUGCUAAACCGUAAGGUGAUGUAUAGGGGCUGACGCCUGCCCGGUGCUGGAAGGUUAAGAGGAGUGGUUAGCUUCUGCGAAGCUACGAAUCGAAGCCCCAGUAAACGGCGGCCGUAACUAUAACGGUCCUAAGGUAGCGAAAUUCCUUGUCGGGUAAGUUCCGACCCGCACGAAAGGCGUAACGAUUUGGGCACUGUCUCAACGAGAGACUCGGUGAAAUCAUAGUACCUGUGAAGAUGCAGGUUACCCGCGACAGGACGGAAAGACCCCGUGGAGCUUUACUGUAGCCUGAUAUUGAAAUUCGGCACAGCUUGUACAGGAUAGGUAGGAGCCUUUGAAACGUGAGCGCUAGCUUACGUGGAGGCGCUGGUGGGAUACUACCCUAGCUGUGUUGGCUUUCUAACCCGCACCACUUAUCGUGGUGGGAGACAGUGUCAGGCGGGCAGUUUGACUGGGGCGGUCGCCUCCUAAAAGGUAACGGAGGCGCUCAAAGGUUCCCUCAGAAUGGUUGGAAAUCAUUCAUAGAGUGUAAAGGCAUAAGGGAGCUUGACUGCGAGACCUACAAGUCGAGCAGGGUCGAAAGACGGACUUAGUGAUCCGGUGGUUCCGCAUGGAAGGGCCAUCGCUCAACGGAUAAAAGCUACCCCGGGGAUAACAGGCUUAUCUCCCCCAAGAGUUCACAUCGACGGGGAGGUUUGGCACCUCGAUGUCGGCUCAUCGCAUCCUGGGGCUGUAGUCGGUCCCAAGGGUUGGGCUGUUCGCCCAUUAAAGCGGUACGCGAGCUGGGUUCAGAACGUCGUGAGACAGUUCGGUCCCUAUCCGUCGUGGGCGUAGGAAAUUUGAGAGGAGCUGUCCUUAGUACGAGAGGACCGGGAUGGACAUACCUCUGGUGUACCAGUUGUCGUGCCAACGGCAUAGCUGGGUAGCUAUGUGUGGACGGGAUAAGUGCUGAAAGCAUCUAAGCAUGAAGCCCCCCUCAAGAUGAGAUUUCCCAACUUCGGUUAUAAGAUCCCUCAAAGAUGAUGAGGUUAAUAGGUUCGAGGUGGAAG
rnacentral:rRNA from 1 species